rnacentral:rRNA from 1 species
CCUACGGGGGGCAGCAGUGGGGAAUAUUGCGCAAUGGGCGAAAGCCUGACGCAGCGACGCCGCGUGAGGGAUGAAGGUCUUCGGAUCGUAAAACUCUGUCAGCAGGGAAGCACGGUCACUGUGCUAAUCAGCCGUGAAUUGACGGUACCUGCAAAGGAAGCACCGGCUAACUCCGUGCCAGCAGCCGCGGUAAGACGGAGGGUGCGAGAGGUAAGCGGAAUUACUGGGAGUAAGGCGCUCGUAGGCGGUAUGUCAAGUCAAGGGGGAAAUCCCCGCGCUCAACGUGGGAACUGCCUUUGAAACUGGCAACCUGGAGUGUGUGAGAGGAUAGUGGAAUUCCAGGUGUAGGGGUGAAAUCCGUAGAUAUCUGGAAGAACAUCAGUGGCGAAGGCGACUAUCUGGCACAUAACUGACGCUGAGGAGCGAAAGCGUGGGUAGCAAACAGGAUUAGAUACCCGGGUAGUC